GACGAACGCUGGCGGCGUGCUUAACACAUGCAAGUCGAACGGAAAGGCCCCUUUGGGGGUACUCGAGUGGCGAACGGGUGAGUAACACGUGAGUAACCUGCCCUUGACUUCGGGAUAACUUCAGGAAACUGGGGCUAAUACCGGAUAGGAAUCCUUGCUGCAUGGUGGGGGUUGGAAAGCUUCGGCGGUUUUGGAUGGACUCGCGGCUUAUCAGCUUGUUGGUGGGGUAGUGGCUUACCAAGGCUUUGACGGGUAGCCGGCCUGAGAGGGCGACCGGCCACAUUGGGACUGAGAUACGGCCCAGACUCCUACGGGAGGCAGCAGUGGGGAAUAUUGCACAAUGGGCGGAAGCCUGAUGCAGCAACGCCGCGUGCGGGAUGACGGCCUUCGGGUUGUAAACCGCUUUCAGCAGGGGCGAAGCUUGUGGUGACGGUACCUGCAGAAGAAGCUCCGGCUAACUACGUG
rnacentral:rRNA from 1 species